rnacentral:pre_miRNA from 1 species
AGCCUUCUGUAUCCGUGCUGAAAUUUCGUCAAAUAGCAGAUCGCAAGGGCUGAUAAGACUCCCUAGAUAAGUGAAGCG